rnacentral:lncRNA from 1 species
CCAGAGGAGGGGUUGUGGUCGAGGUGGUGGUGGGAGAGGUGGUGGGAGAGAUGGUGGUGGGAGAGGUGGUGGUGGGGAUUGUAGGAGAGGUGGUGGUGGGGAUUGUGGGAGAGGUGGUGGUGGGAGAGGUGGUGGGAGAGGUGGUGGUGGGGAUUAUGGGAGAGGUGGUGGUGGGCGAGCUGGUGGUGGGAGAGGUGGUGGUGGGGGUGGUGGUAGAGGUGGUAGUGAGAGAGGUGGUGGUGGGAGAGGGGAUGGUGGGGGUGGUGGUAGAGGUGGUGGGAGUGCUGGUGGUGGGAGAGGUGGUGGUGGGAGAGUUGGUGGUGGUGGUAGAGGUUGUGGGAGAGGUGGUGGUGGGAGAGGGGAUGGUGGGGGUGGUGGUAGAGGUGGUGGGAGUGCUGGUGGUGGGAGAGGUGGUGGUGGGAGAGUUGGUGGUGGUGGUAGAGGUUGUGGGAGAGGUGGUGGUGGGAGAGGUGGUGGUGGGAGAGGGGAUGGUGGGACAGUCGGUAGUUGGACAGUCGGUAGUUUUAGUGACUGUAGCUGGAGUGGUAGAAGUGGUAGAAGUGGUGGGAGUGGUAGAAGUGGUGGGAGUGCUGGUGGUGGGAGAGGUGGUG